rnacentral:rRNA from 1 species
UACGUAGGGUGCGAGCGUUGUCCGGAAUUAUUGGGCGUAAAGAGCUUGUAGGCGGUUUGUCGCUUCUGCUGUGAAAAUCCGGGGCUCAACCCCGGACUUGCAGUGGGUACGGGCAGACUAGAGUGUGGUAGGGGAGACUGGAAUUCCUGGUGUAGCGGUGAAAUGCGCAGAUAUCAGGAGGAACACCGAUGGCGAAGGCAGGUCUCUGGGCCACUACUGACGCUGAGAAGCGAAAGCAUGGGGAGCGAACAGGAUUAGAUA